GCUCUUACACAGACUGGGAGGAGAGAGCAAGAUUUUGUACUAAACGGACGGAGCGGAAAAGGAGAAGUAUAAGAGAGAGUCUUGUUCUGCAUUGCUCCGCGCGUUGCAAAGCGCCGCACGGACCACCCGUGUCUUUGUGCUCGCCGAGAGAGCACUUAGUUUACUCUAGAUGUCUAUGUCUCCAUGCCUCUUAAGAUUAGACAAGAUAUUCGUUUU
ensembl:ncRNA F25B4.16 ncRNA